CAGGCUUAACACAUGCAAGUCGAGGGGCAGCAUGGUCUUAGCUUGCUAAGGCCGAUGGCGACCGGCGCACGGGUGAGUAACACGUAUCCAACCUGCCGUCUACUCUUGGACAGCCUUCUGAAAGGAAGAUUAAUACAAGAUGGCAUCAUGAGUCCGCAUGUUCACAUGAUUAAAGGUAUUCCGGUAGACGAUGGGGAUGCGUUCCAUUAGAUAGUAGGCGGGGUAACGGCCCACCUAGUCUUCGAUGGAUAGGGGUUCUGAGAGGAAGGUCCCCCACAUUGGAACUGAGACACGGUCCAAACUCCUACGGGAGGCAGCAGUGAGGAAUAUUGGUCAAUGGGCGAGAGCCUGAACCAGCCAAGUAGCGUGAAGGAUGACUGCCCUAUGGGUUGUAAACUUCUUUUAUAAAGGAAUAAAGUCGGGUAUGGAUACCCGUUUGCAUGUACUUUAUGAAUAAGGAUCGGCUAACUCCGUGCCAGCAGCCGCGGUAAUACGGAGGAUCCGAGCGUUAUCCGGAUUUAUUGGGUUUAAAGGGAGCGUAGAUGGAUGUUUAAGUCAGUUGUGAAAGUUUGCGGCUCAACCGUAAAAUUGCAGUUGAUACUGGAUAUCUUGAGUGCAGUUGAGGCAGGCGGAAUUCGUGGUGUAGCGGUGAAAUGCUUAGAUAUCACGAAGAACUCCGAUUGCGAAGGCAGCCUGCUAAGCUGCAACUGACAUUGAGGCUCGAAAGUGUGGGUAUCAAACAGGAUUAGAUACCCUGGUAGUCCACACGGUAAACGAUGAAUACUCGCUGUUUGCGAUAUACUGCAAGCGGCCAAGCGAAAGCGUUAAGUAUUCCACCUGGGGAGUACGCCGGCAACGGUGAAACUCAAAGGAAUUGACGGGGGCCCGCACAAGCGGAGGAACAUGUGGUUUAAUUCGAUGAUACGCGAGGAACCUUACCCGGGCUUAAAUUGCAGAUGAAUUACGGUGAAAGCCGUAAGCCGCAAGGCAUCUGUGAAGGUGCUGCAUGGUUGUCGUCAGCUCGUGCCGUGAGGUGUCGGCUUAAGUGCCAUAACGAGCGCAACCCUUGUUGUCAGUUACUAACAGGUUCCGCUGAGGACUCUGACAAGACUGCCAUCGUAAGAUGUGAGGAAGGUGGGGAUGACGUCAAAUCAGCACGGCCCUUACGUCCGGGGCUACACACGUGUUACAAUGGGGGGUACAGAGGGCCGCUACCACGCGAGUGGAUGCCAAUCCCCAAAACCUCUCUCAGUUCGGACUGGAGUCUGCAACCCGACUCCACGAAGCUGGAUUCGCUAGUAAUCGCGCAUCAGCCACGGCGCGGUGAAUACGUUCCCGGGCCUUGUACACACCGCCCGUCAAGCCAUGGGAGCCGGGGGUACCUGAAGUGCGUAACCACGAGGAGCGCCCUAGGGUAAAACUGGUGACUGGGGCUAAG
rnacentral:rRNA from 1 species